CACAAUGGGCGAAAGCCUGAUGCAGCAACGCCGCGUGAGCGAUGAAGGUCUUCGGAUCGUAAAGCUCUGUCCUCAAGGAAGAAUUUUGACGGUACUUGAGGAGGAAGCCCCGGCUAACUACGUGCCAGCAGCCGCGGUAAUACGUAGGGGGCUAGCGUUAUCCGGAAUUAUUGGGCGUAAAGGGUGCGUAGGCGGUCCUACAAGUCAGGGGUGAAAGGCUACGGCUCAACCGUAGUAAGCCUUUGAAACUGUAGGACUUGAGUGCAGGAGAGGAGAGUGGAAUUCCCAGUGUAGCGGUGAAAUGCGUAGAUAUUGGGAGGAACACCAGUUGCGAAGGCGGCUCUCUGGACUGUAACUGACGCUGAGGCACGAAAGCGUGGGGAGCGAACAGGAUUAGAUACCCUGGUAGUCCACGCCGUAAACGAUGAGUACUAGGUGUCGGGGGUUACCCCCCUCGGUGCCGCAGCUAACGCAUUAAGUACUCCGCCUGGGAAGUACGCUCGCAAGAGUG
rnacentral:rRNA from 1 species